rnacentral:lncRNA from 12 species
CCAUUCUUCAAGUCCCAUCUUUCAUGCCGGGAUAAAUCGGUUUUCCACAAAGUAGAAGUUAUUAUGUGGGAGUGUCCACCUGGAAAAGCUAAACCAGAAUGGUUCAGCAAGUCUUUCAUGGAAUACUGAUCAAGAAAUAUGAUGCAGGUGAUUGCUGGAGCAGGGUAGUUCCCUGCCUGAAAUGGACCAUACAAUUUCUGUGGUCACUGGAAUCUAGUCCAUAGAAAACAAAUAUUCUGCUGAGUUGCAGACAAGUACUUUGAGAGCAAAGCACGUGGAAAUCACACCCCUAAAUCAGCAGAGCAAUCUAGGAUGAGCAAAAGGCAGUCCACAUUAAAAGAAAAGGAAAUCCAUUUCUGCUUUCCUACAACAGUUCAUACAUAAACUGCAGAUAUAGAUAGACAGCAACUGUGUUAUCAGAUAUGUG